rnacentral:rRNA from 1 species
AGAGUUUGAUCAUGGCUCAGGACGAACGCUGGCGGCGUGCUUAACACAUGCAAGUGGAGCGACGAACCAGGCUUCGGCCUGGGGCAGAGCCGCGAACGGGUGAGUAACACGUGGGUAACGUGCCCUAAUGAUCGGGACAACCCGGGGAAACCCGGGCUAAUACCGAAUGUGCUCCCCUCACAUCAGUCAGGGGUGAAAAGGAAGCUUCGGCCUCCGCAUUGGGAUCGGCCCGCGGCCCAUUAGCUUGUUGGUGAGGUAAAGGCUCACCAAGGCUGCGAUGGGUAGCUGGUCUGAGAGGACGAUCAGCCACACUGGGACUGAGACACGGCCCAGACUCCUACGGGAGGCAGCAGUGGGGAAUCUUGCGCAAUGCGCGAAAGCGUGACGCAGCAACGCCGCGUGGGGGAAGACGGCCUUCGGGUUGUAAACCCCUUUCAGGAGGGACGAAGCCCGGGCGGUUAAUAGCCGACUCGCGUGACGGUACCUCCAGAAGAAGCCCCGGCUAACUACGUGCCAGCAGCCGCGGUA